CAUAUCAAUAAGCGGAGGAAAAGAAACCAACAGGGAUUGCCUCAGUAGCGGCGAGUGAAGCGGCAAAAGCUCAAAUUUGAAAUCUGGCGUCUUUGGCGUCCGAGUUGUAAUUUGAAGAAGGUAUCUUUGGGCCCGGCUCUUGUCUAUGUUCCUUGGAACAGGACGUCACAGAGGGUGAGAAUCCCGUGCGAUGAGAUGACCCGGGUCUGUGUAAAGUUCCUUCGACGAGUCGAGUUGUUUGGGAAUGCAGCUCUAAGUGGGUGGUAAAUUCCAUCUAAAGCUAAAUAUUGGCGAGAGACCGAUAGCGAACAAGUACAGUGAUGGAAAGAUGAAAAGAACUUUGAAAAGAGAGUGAAAAAGUACGUGAAAUUGUUGAAAGGGAAGGGCUUGAGAUCAGACUUGGUAUUUUGCAUGCUGCUCUCUCGGGGGCGGCCGCUGCGGUUUACCGGGCCAGCAUCGGUUUGGAGCGGCAGGAUAAUGGCGGAGGAAUGUGGCACGGCUUYUGCUGUGUGUUAUAGCCUCUGACGAUACUGCCAGCCUAGACCGAGGACUGCGGUUUUUAACCUAGGAUGUUGGCAUAAUGAUCUUAAGUCGC
rnacentral:rRNA from 1 species